rnacentral:rRNA from 1 species
ACCUACGGGAGGCAGCAGUGAGGAAUAUUGGUCAAUGGGCGGAAGCCUGAACCAGCCAAGUCGCGUGAGGGAAUAAGGCCCUACGGGUCGUAAACCUCUUUUGCCGGGGAGCUAGGGCCGGGACGCGUCCCGGCCCGGAGAGUACCCGGAGAAAAAGCAUCAGCUAACUCCGUGCCAGCAGCCGCGGUAAUACGGAGGAUGCGAGCGUUAUCCGGAUUUAUUGGGCUUAAAGGGUGCGUAGGCGGGCUUUUAAGUCAGCGGUAAAAAUUCGGGGCUCAACCCCGUCCGGCCGUUGAAACUGGGGG